GAAUUGCAAAAGAAAAGCGAAUUGAACGAAAAAUUCAAUAAAAAAUUUCCAGAAAAACAGUCCGUCUGUCUGUACAUACGUUUCUGUCGCACACUUUAUUGGAAAAAAGGAUCGUCAAAGUAUUCGAAAAUGAAACGGACAAAAAUCCGCAUUUUCUUCACUUUUCUUCCAUUUUCGGGUCGGUUUUUUGCUGACUGGGUCAAUAUCUGUCAUUUUAUUUAAAGACAAAAUGUAUUGGGAUCAUAUAAACAGCUGUACAUCGAAGUGUAUCUAGAAUGUAUGUAUGUAUAUCGAGCUCUAACCGCGAAUUUAUUUCCCCCCUUUGGAUACAGAAGUGCUUAUAUGUAGAGCAUGUAAAUGCAUAUCUGCAUGGAAAGGAAAAUUUAAAAAAUAAUUUCGGUUAAUAUUUUUUGGCGCUUAGGGAAAGAAAUUAAAUAAAUAAAAAUAGGUGCGGAAGCGGAGCUCGGAGCGAAAUAAACUACCGGAGCGGAGCGAUGAAAA